rnacentral:snRNA from 1 species
AUACUUACCUGGCAGGGGAGAUACCAUGAUCAGGCAGGUGGUUUUCCCAGGGCAAGGCUCAUCCCUUGCACUACAGGUGUGCUGACCCCUGCGAUUUCCCCAAAUGUGGGAAACUUGACUGCAUGAUUUGUGGUAGUGGGGGACUGCGUUCACACUCUCCCCUG